rnacentral:lncRNA from 10 species
GCUAGCUGCCGAUCCUGCUCUGCUCCUGGGUUUGCUGUGUGGCCCUUGGCUGGGCACGGUGGCUCAUGCCUGUAAUCCCAGCACUUUGGGAGGCUGAGGUGGGAAGAUCACUUGAGGUCAGCAGUUCAAGACCAGCCUGGCCAACAUGGUGAAACCCCAUCUGUUGCGGGAAGUCAGGGACCCCGAAUGGAGAGACCGCCUGGAACCAUGGGCAGAACAUAAAUUGUGAAGAUUUCAUGGACAUUUAUAAGUUCCCAAAAUUAAUACUUUUAUAAUUUCUUAUGCCUGUCUUUACUGCAAUCUCUGAACAUAAAUUGUGAGGGUUUCAUGGACAUUUAUCACUUCUGUAAUAAUACUCUUGUAAUUUCUUAUGCCUGUCUUUAAUCUCUUAAUCCCGUUAUCUUCAUAAGCUGAGAAUGUAUGUCACCUCAGGACCACUAUUGUACAAUAGAUUGUAAAACGUGUGUUUGAACAAUAUGAAAUCAGUGCACCUUGACAAAGAACAGAAUAACAGUGAUUUUCAGGGAAUAAGGGAAGAUAACCAUAAGUUCUGACUGCCUGCGGGGUCAGGCAGAAUAGAGCCAUAGUUUUCUUCUUGCAGAGAGCCUAUAAAUGGAUGUGCAAGUAAGAGGGUAUCGCUGAAUUAUUUUCCCAGCAAGGAAUACCGUGCGGAAGGAAUGCAUUCCUGGGGGGAGGUCUGUAAACGGCCACUCUGGGAGUGUCUGUCUUAUGCAAUUUAGAUAAGGACUGAAAUACACCUUGGUCUCCUGCAGUACCCUCAGGCUUACUAGGAUUGGGAAAUUCCAGCCUGGUAAAUUUUGGUCAGACCAAUUCUCUGCUCUCACCUGUUUCCUGUUAAGAUGUUUAUCAAGACAGUACGUGCACAGCAGGACAUAGACCCUCAUCAGUAAUUCUAAUUUUGCCUUUGUCUUGUGAUCUUUAUUGCCCUUUGAAGCAUGUGAUCUUUGUGACCUACGCCCUGUUCGUACACCCCCUCCCCUUUUAAAAUCCCUAAUAAAAACUUGCUGGUUUUGCAGCUCGGGGUCAUCACGGUCCUACCAAUAUGUGAUGUCACCCCCAGAGGCCCAGCUGUAAAAUU